CUGAAAUCCAAGAAUUGCCUCCGGGGGUCAGAAAGUCCAAACCCAUGAGCUACCGUGACAGGUUCCUGCACCAGCUGGACUGUGCCAUUUGAGGAUCCACCGCUGGCCAUUCCCAGGAAGCCUGGAAAAUGAGCUCGCUUUGUCACCCAGCCAGCAUGACUGUGUACGGACCAUCUGAGAAAAACAGAGAGAGCCUGUGGCAUUAAAAUAUCCUUUUAAGCGAAAAGCACAUUUGUUCCAGUUGUCUGUAGCAUUUGUUACGGUUCA